rnacentral:lncRNA from 1 species
UACGGUUAACAUUUGUUCGUGUUUCUUCUGGAUUACGAAAAAUACAUAUGGAAUACAGAAUUACAUGUUCAAGUAUUAGAAUUUAUAUGAAGCUAAUUCUUUAUUAUAUAAUUUUGGGAAACCAAGCAUUGCAAAAAUUAUACUCUAACACUAACUCCUCCCUUCAGCCUCUUGUUUCUUACCUCAGUACUUUAAUUGCUAAUGGCUAUCUAACAAUCUCACUCUCUAAUUCUUCAAUAAUAAUGUUUAUCAAGUUUUCCACUACAUUCUUCAUAUCCUGCUAAUUUUAUUGUUAUUUUUGAAACAAAGAUCAGCACGUCUAGCCAAACUCUAUGCUCUAGCACGGUUCACUAAUGUCAGAUGCCUAAUCUAAUGUUGAAAACAAAGUUUAAUACUAAUGCAACUUCUUAAAACGAAUGUAUCCUAUGAAGAUCAUGAUGAACCUUUGCAAUAUGAAUAAGUAAGAAAGAUUUGCUGGAAUCAGGAACAAAAGCUGCGUGAAAGGAUCAAAGUUUCCAGCUUUUAUACGGUUCCCAUUACUGAGAAUGAACACAAACGUGUGUUCCAAAAAAAAAAAAAAAAA